rnacentral:misc_RNA from 1 species
AUAACUAUAUAAUCUGCGUCUAGAACUUGACCUUUUGCGGCAUCACGCCACUUCGAAACUUAUCUGUAUUACGCCACCUUCAAAAAGAUCCGAAGUGAAUCUUUAAUUCAAGGUAAGAAAAAAAGAUUUUUCUAAUAGCGAUAAGGGUUAUCUUUAAGAAUUAUUGUCUUAUAAUCUUGUAAUCUGUCGAAUUUUCAAUUCCCUUCUUGAUACCAUAUUCGUCUCACGUGUGUUAAUAAAUUAUAUAAUCUGUGACUGUAUAAAAGACGCUUUUAAUAAGGUAAUAUUUCUGUAAGGGUAUUAAAACGAUGGUAAUAUUUAAUACAAAAAAAGAAAACGACAUUAAAGAGAAAAAUUGACUACGUGUAACAAUAUGUACUUAGACAUUAGUUUGUUGAAUGUCUGAAGUAUUUCAUCAUCUAUAUGUUAACGUAUAUUAUUUCGAAACAACUAUAACUUGAAUGUCUUCUCUUUAUAGUUAGAAAAUGCCUCCCCGAAAUUUGGAAAAAUGUGUCUACGUGACAGAAGCUGAUCAGAAAGAUGAAUUGGAAGCUGUAAUAGAACAAAAUCAACCAGCUAAACAACCUCCAACCAAAAUUGUUUGGCGAAACGUAAUUUGGAUGAUAUAUUUGCAUAUAGCCGCCCUUUAUGGAGUUUAUUUAAUGUACUACUGCAAAUGGCAAAGUUGGAUUUGGUUUGCCGUCACAUAUGGUAUGUCCGGUCUUGGAAUAACCGCAGGAGCUCACAGAUUAUGGGCACAUAGAUCUUACAAAGCUAAACUUCCUUUGAGAAUUGUUCUUGCAAUAUGGAAUACAAUGGCCUUCCAAAAUGAUGUCAUUGAAUGGUCUCGUGAUCACCGCGUUCAUCACAAAUAUUCUGAAACGGAUGCUGAUCCCCAUAACGCAAACCGAGGUUUCUUUUUUUCUCAUGUUGGAUGGCUAUUGGUCAGAAAGCAUCCAGAGGUUAGGGCUAAAGGAAAAAGAGUUAAUAUUGAUGAUCUGCUAGCCGAUCCUGUCCUUGUAUUUCAAAGGAAAGUAUACCUUCCAGCCAUGAUUUUUACCUGUUUCUUCUUUCCAUCUCUUGUUGCUUGGUACUUUUGGGGUGAAUCUUGGUGGACAGCAUUCUUCACCGUUGGAAUUCUUCGUUAUACUCUUGUGUUGAAUGCAACUUGGGCAGUUAAUUCGGUUGCUCAUAUGUUUGGUAACAAGCCCUAUGAUCGCGAAAUUAGCCCAGUCGAAACUCUAAGUGUUGCUGUAGCUGCUUUGGGAGAAGGUUAUCAUAAUUACCAUCACACAUUUCCCCAAGAUUAUUCUGCAUCGGAAUUUGGUUGGGGAAGAAAUUGUACAACAGCGUUUAUUGACUUUUGCGCUUGGAUUGGACAGGCAUACGGAAUGAAAAAAAUUAGUCCAGAAAUGAUUAAAAGACGAAUGGAAAGAACAGGAGACGGAUCUACAGGUUUUGGAUAUACGAAUCCUCCGAAAAAACUUGAUUAA